UACGAGAGGCCCAAACGUUAUUCGGAUUUACUGGGCUUAAAGAGUUCGUAGGCGGUCCGUCAAGUGGGGUGUGAAAGCCCUCGGCUCAACCGAGGAAUUGCGCUCCAAACUGUCGGGCUCGAGGGAGAUAGAGGUGAGCGGAACUGAUGGUGGAGCGGUGAAAUGCGUUGAUAUCAUCAGGAACACCAGAGGCGAAGGCGGCUCACUGGGUCUCUUCUGACGCUGAGGAACGAAAGCUAGGGGAGCAAACGGG
rnacentral:rRNA from 2 species